AUGGCCGAACCCGUGCUUGCUUCUUUGAUCCAUGUCUUAGGCUCCCUGCUUAGCAGCAGAGCAACCGACCAUGGCCGGCGCCUCUGGUCCGUAAGUCGUGAUGUCGGAUGGCUCCGUGAUGAGCUCCACAGCAUGCAGCUCUUCCUUCACGAGAUGGAGGUUUGCAGCAUUGAGGGCGGCGUCGCCAGAGAAGCAUGGAUUGACCAGAUGAGGGACAUCAUGUCCGACUCGGAGGACGCCAUCGACAUCUUCGACGCCAGCCAAGUACAAGGCUGCUGUGUUCUUGGUAAGCUGAGAUCGAGGCAUGACGUCGGGGCUCGGAUCAGGCGCAUCCGGGCUCAGCUGAGUGACAUCUCCCGUCGCCGACUGGAGUAUGCAGUUGAAAGACCUAGAGAAUCAAGUGAUAAGUGGAUCCAUGGUCUUUUAGCCUCAUCUCCGAUGGUUCAUGACAUAGAUGUUGUAGGCCUGGAUAAAUAUCUGGAUGUGUUGCUUCGGCAUAUCUUGGAUGGAGGUUUGGAGUCGGAGCUAAGUGUCAUAUCCUUGGUUGGCAUGGGAGGUGUUGGGAAGACCACACUUGCCAAGAAGGCGUACACCAACCCAGACGUGAAGAAGCAUUUCGAAUGCUGUGCGUGGAUCUAUGUGUCGAAAACGAUGGAGCUGCGCUCUAUCCUCUGUGAGAUGGUCAAGGGGCUGAUGAGGAUCCCCUCUGCAGAGGCGAGCUCCCUCUGCGAGAAGCGGCUCCAAGAAUUGCUCUUGAGUGGCCUUGGCUGUAAAAAGUUUCUGCUUGUGUUUGAUGAUGUCUGGGACAGAGGGUUGUGGGAUAUCAUCAAGCUAGUACUGCCCAGAAAUUGCAGCGGAAGCCGAGUGCUUGUGACAACUCGUAAUGCCGCUGUGGCUGGCUCAGUUGAAGGCGCAAAGAGCACUGUACAGCAGCUUCAGCCAUUGCCAUUUGAAGAUUCCUGGAAUUUGUUUUGCAAAAAGGCAUUCUUGCAGGAUGGAAUAUGUCCGGACGCUGUAAAGGAAACUGCUGAGGACAUUGUGAAGAAAUGUGUUGGUUUGCCUCUUGCUAUUGUUGCUGCAGGGAGUAUGAUGUCCGGGAAAGAACAAACAGAUACUGAGUGGAAAAGUGUCCUGGCAAGCAUUCAGAAGGAUCUAAGCAAUGGUCAAAUGGGAAUUCAGCAGACACUGCUAUCAAGUUAUAGGGACCUCCCACACCCUUUGAAGCCAUGUUUUAUGCUGCUCUCUGUAAUCCCAUAUAAGUCACAGAUCUCCCGAAAGAAAUUAGUUCGGUUAUGGAUUGCCGAAGGGUUUGUGAAAGAAAAGGCUGAUGAGACACUUGAAAUUACUGCAGAGAAGUACCUCGCGGAGCUGAUCAACAAAAGCAUGGUAGAAGUGGCAACGGCAAGCAUCAGUGGGAGAGUAAAAGCAUGCAGAGUUCAUGAUCUUCUUCACGAUCUUGCCAUUUGGCUGUCUGAAAAUGAGAAAUUUUCCAUCAUCUGCGCUGAUAAAGGCCCAAGUGUUAGUGAUCGGCGCGUAUCCCUGCAAAUGCCUCAUGUAUCAUUCAGCAAUGAACGCAAGAAAAGAUUGCGGUCUGUUUUCAUGUUCAACAACAGUGCACCAACUGCAAUUAAAUGCAAUGUUAUUUCAAGGAGCUUUGGUCUGGUAAGAAUUCUGGAUUUUGAAGAUGGUAACAUGCUAGAACUUCCAAAAGAGAUCGGAGGCUUAGUUCACUUGAGGUACCUUGGACUAAGGGGAACGAAGUUGAAGAAGCUCCCAAGAACAAUGAACAAGCUCUAUCACUUGCAAACUCUUGAUAUCAGGAAGACUCAGAUAAAGCGAAUCACGUUUCAAAUCAAAUGUUUAAGAAAUCUACGGCAUCUAGAGAUGAAACAAGAUGACCAAUGCAUCCAGAUCCCGAUAGGAUUUAAUCAGCUUGACAAACUCCAGAUAUUAACUGGGUUGCAAGCAAGCACAGCCGUGGUUCGUGAGAUUGCAAGCCUUACCCAGCUGAAGAAGCUUUCGAUAGAGGAUUUAAAAAAUGAAGAUGCCAAAGAGCUAUGCUCUUCUGUGAACAAUAUGAAGGAACUAUCAUACCUAUCCAUCUUCCCUAGCGAUGGCACCAGGCCACUUGACCUUGCAAUGUUGGAACCUUCUUCAUGUCUACAGAAGCUGAAUCUAGCUGGAUCUUUGCAGACAUUGCCAAAUUGGUUUGCUCAACUAGACAACCUUACAAAGCUGCGCUUGAGCUUCUCACAGCUGGAAGAUGACCCGCUUUCAGUUCUUGUUCGAUUGCCGAAUCUGAUGUUCCUCCAGCUGAACAAUGCAUACAAGGGGAAAGUAAUGAGAUGCUGCCGUUCCGGUUUUUUAAAGCUGAAAAUCUUCAUCAUAACUGAACUUGAGGAACUGGAGCGGUGGGAUGUUGUUGAUGGAGCAAUGCCAUGUGUUCAAGAAGUGUGGAUCAUGUCAUGUGCAAAGCUGGCAGCUAUUCCUGCUGGGUUCCAGUCACUUGCUACAUUGCAGAGGUUGAGAUUGGUGGGCAUGCCAAGCUCCUUUCUUGGUAAAUUGGGGGAUGGUGGUGAUGAUUUUAUAAGGGUCAGACAUAUUCCAUCUAUCCAGACCAUUCAACAGUUUGGGCAGCCCUAA
rnacentral:rRNA from 1 species